GCUAUGGUGGCCUAGUGGUUAGAGCGUUCGCCUUGAAUGCGGGAGGUCGCUGGUUCAAACCAAAAACGAGUCAAAACA